UCCCUGGUAGCUCAGCAGAUAAAGAAUCUGCCUGCAAUGCAGAAGACCCAGGUUCAAUUCUUGGGUUGGGAA
rnacentral:tRNA from 1 species